rnacentral:rRNA from 1 species
GGCGUCCUCUCGGUGAGCGUGUUCGUGCUUGAUUGCAUGUCGCGGCAUCCGAGACUUUUACUUUGAGGAAAUUAGAGUGUUCACGGCAGGCAUACGCUUUGAAUAUAUUAGCAUGGAAUAAUGAGAUAGGACCAGUUUCCUAUUUUGUUGGUUUCUAGGAAUCAGGUAAUGGUUAAUAGGGAUAAUUGGGGGCAUUCGUAUGAAGAUGUCAGAGGUGGAAUUCUUGGAUUAUCUUCCGACGAACUACUGCGAAAGCAUUUGCCAAGGAUGUUUUCAUUGAUCAAGAACGAAAGUAUGGGGAUCGAAGACGAUUAGAUACCGUCGUAGUCUAUACCAUAAACUAUGCCAACUAGAGAUGGGAGGUCGUUCUUUUUAUGACUCCUUCCGCACCUUAUGAGAAAUCAAAGUUUUUGGGUUCCGGGGGGAGUAUGGUCGCAAGUCUGAAACUUAAAGGAAUUGACGGAAGGGCACCACCAGGAGUGG